GAAUUUGUGACUUUGGCUUUGACUUUGACUUUGUCACUUUGUUUACGGUUGUGCGAAUAGUAACUCACGUGGAAGCAAGGCA